UAGGGAAUCUUCGGCAAUGGACGGAAGUCUGACCGAGCAACGCCGCGUGAGUGAAGAAGGUUUUCGGAUCGUAAAGCUCUGUUGUAAGAGAAGAACGAGUGUGAGAGUGGAAAGUUCACACUGUGACGGUAUCUUACCAGAAAGGGACGGCUAACUACGUGCCAGCAGCCGCGGUAAUACGUAGGUCCCGAGCGCUGUCCGGAUUUAUUGGGCGUAAAGCGAGCGCAGGCGGUUAGAUAAGUCUGAAGUUAAAGGCUGUGGCUUAACCAUAGUACGCUUUGGAAACUGUUUAACUUGAGUGCAAGAGGGGAGAGUGGAAUUCCAUGUGUAGCGGUGAAAUGCGUAGAUAUAUGGAGGAACACCGGUGGCGAAAGCGGCUCUCUGGCUUGUAACUGACGCUGAGGCUCGAAAGCGUGGGGAGCAAACAGGAUUAGAUACCCUGGUAGUCCACGCCGUANCGAUGAGUGCUAGGUGUUAGACCCUUUCCGGGGUUUAGUGCCGCAGCUAACGCAUUAAGCACUCCGCCUGGGGAGUACGACCGCAAGGUUG
rnacentral:rRNA from 1 species